CAUUGUCGGUUCGAUUCCCUCAACCGUGUAGGGGAUGGAGAAGAGCACGGCACGCCGAGCUCGCCUCUUCCCCGCCCCCAAAAUCUCAGGGACGUGCGGACUCUUGGCCUUGUAGUGCAGCGAUGUGCUGGGCGGCCAAGCUUCAAGUCCCACGCCGUUGGGGUGGAGGGUUUCGAUUGAAUGCCGUGGUCGAUUGUGUGGCUUCCUCGCGGGGGGAAGAGACUCGGGUCUGACCUCGAUUGCAAUUGGUGCCUGCCAACGACGUUUACGUCGGAGCGAGGCGAGAGGUCCUGCUCGGUUGCAGUUGGGAGGAGACGCGGGCCUCUGCCCCCGUUGAGGUUGUCCAUUCAUGUUGAUUGCGUGCGCGGCGCUGUGCCAGGGAUCCGUCGUUUCGACGGCGGCAAGUCGGGACUGCCGCAACCCCCUGUCGCGUUGCUUGGGUGGUAACUCGUCGCUCGGAGCGUUCCGCGUUCAGGACGAGAGGACGCGCACGAUGGUGCGUGGCAGGGCCCCUCGUCCGACGACGCGGCUCCCCCUUUGCGGCGAGCUCCACCUUUGCGAGGCGACCGGGCGGGGACACAUCGCACCGUUCUUCGCUGCACCCGUCGGGUGCCCGGAGCGCGGGGUGUGUCAAACCCAACAUGCGGGUGCGCAUCGCGCACCUUAGAAAUCCAAGCAUCGAAGUGCGAUCGGGGCGCCUUGUGCGUUUGGGUCGACGAAAGAGAAAACAUAACGAAAUCACGACUCUCGGCAACGGAUAUCUCGGCUCUCGCCACGAUGAAGAAUGUAGCGAAAUGCGAUACUUAGUGUGAAUUGCAGAAUCCCGUGAAUCAUCAAGUCUUUGAACGCAAGUUGCGCCCGAGGCUUCGGCCAAGGGCACGUCUGCUUGGGCGUCGCACUCCAAAACUGCCCUCCCUCGCGAGGAGCGUAGAUGGCCGUCCGUGCCCGCAAGUGGGGCGGUCGGCUGAAAUGAGCACGAGGUCCGUCGAUCUGUCGCGACGAGCGGUGGCUCCCAAAGGCCGGCGUUGGUUUGUGCGGAUCGAACGACGCCUCGUGAGGAACUUUGUUUUGGGUGCAGCGGCCCGCCACAGUGCGGGCGUGCUUCAUCUCCAUCGCGUCC
rnacentral:rRNA from 1 species